CUUUAGCCCGGAUAGCAGCGGCAUCCUUUCGCGGAGUGCAACGCAGCGAAAUAUAGAGCGGAUAGCCGGAAUAGCU
rnacentral:sRNA from 1 species